AUUUUGCCCUAGUGCCAAAGUAAAAUAUUUAAAUUCCUAUUUUGAGGUCUGAAAAUCAGAAAGUAGGGCAGUACUUUAUUAGAUUAAGAUGUUAUGCUGUGUUUUGUUGAAAGCAUGGCUUUAGAGUUGGUUUUUAUUUUUUUAAUAUGAAUUGAGAAACAGUUUCUGCACAUUUUUUACCCUUCCAUAAAAGAAAACCCAAAAUAUUUUCAGAGGUAGUGAGAAACAGGACAAAAAGAGUUAACAAUGAAAUAGUACAUCUUCUGGAGAACUUUAAACUUCUCCUCUAAACACUCAGCAAAACGGAAGUGUAAAAUUUUAAUUUAAAUUUUUGCAUGAUGCUAUGAAGUGUUUAUAAAACUUUGCAGUGUUUUUCACGAAGUCUGGAAAAAAUACAGUAACAUUUUUUACCAGAAGUGUUGAUUAUCUGUGUAGCUCUUGCUUAAGUGGCUUGAGCUUAUCUGUAACAAAUACUGUUUUUUUAAGACAGGGAUAGCAUAGAUCUCUACCCACAGAUGCUGGAUUUUCUGCCUGUUUUCUGUAUACUGUAUUCUGUCAGGAAAACAGUUACUAGAACAAGAGAAUGUUUCUUUUUCUGCAGAGACACCUUCAUUCUGGAGUAAGACUCUGUUUAUUCUAUUAUAGACAUAGCAAACGUUAAAUUCAAUGCUCAGUACCCUGUGUCUUCAAAUAGUUUAUUGAAUCAGGCUGGUAUUACUUAGAGUCAUUUCCUGAACCUGGGUGCUAAAUUAUGCAAGUCCUUGGAAGCAAGACUCAUGUUUAGCUAGUCACUUGGUCAAGUAUAUCACUGAAUUAUGCCUCAAAAAAGGGCUGUACUGAACCUUUAUAUUUUUGUGCAUUUAAAAAAUUUGUAAAUAUCUAUGUACAGUAUCUGAAUUUGAUUUCAAAGGAUUUGUUUGGAAAACAUAAACUGGAAUGUUAUUCCACUGGUUUUAGUUCUUUUUCAGAACUCAUUUGAGUGCUUAAAGAAUUUUCUAUUUAAUGCUACUUUUAGUAGUACUAUUCUCAAAUUUCAGUACUCCUCUCAAGUGUUCUUUCUUUGGAAAGAAUAUUAAAGAUGGAUUUUCUCUUUUCAUCUUGUUUCUUCUUUUCCUCUUGACUGCAUUCUUACACAGUUUAUAUAAUGAUAAAUAUGAGAGAAACGCCUGCUGAUUUUGACUCACUUUGGAUGAUAAAUAUGAGAGUAACCACUAAUGAUUUUGACUCAUUUCUGAUUUCCUUUCAGGGCUUUCUCCUUUUAUUUUCAGGUUUAAUCAGUGCUAUUGUAAAAAUAUUUACUGUCUUCACAGAAGUUCCCAAAGGAUUUAUGAGUAUGACUUGGGUGUAUCCUGUUAUUCAUACAUAUAUAAUUGAUCCACCUAUACAUGUUGUUAAUUAACUGCCAGCUAAGUACAAAUCUCCUUUUUUUUUUUUUCCAAAUAUAAAAUACACUUUUUUCCUGUCAUGCUGUGCUACACUUAAAACAGUGUUUGAGGAAUUUACCCAGUCUUUAUUUAGAUAUGCUCAUCUUGGUAAAAGAUAAAAAAAUACUUAUUUUUGGUAGCUAAACCAAUUAGGCUUUUAAUUGUUCUACUUUUACUAGACUUAGUAUCUGAAUUUGGUGCAAGAAUAUAAUUUUUUUCAUGAGGUGCCCAGGAUUGUCACAUUACCAGAUUGAAAGUACUUCGAAGUCCAGACUGAUUUCAACAAUUCUCUGUACUCUGAAUCUAGAGUGAAUAUUCUGUUUCCACUUUCAAAUGUUAAGAAAUAGUUUAUUUUUUCUUUUAAAAGUCUUCAUCUUAUUUAUUUCUAACAAAAUACUUAUUUAAUAACAUGGUAUUUACUAUGACUUCUCAAUAGUGUGUGUACUUCUGCAACUUUUACAGAAGCUGUAAGUCAUUUAUUUGCAGCAUAAGGGCUUAGUAUUAGUCUGGUUAUCUUACAAUUUUUUGAUAAUUAAUGUGAAUUUUCUGAACUGAAAUUGUGGUCAUGUAUAGCUUACUUUUGACCUGUUCUAGUGUAGAAAUCAACCAAUUUGUCACAUCGUUAAUUUUCUGUUCAAUUUAUAUUUUUCAUAAUCCUUUUCAGAUGUUGUUUUCUUUUAACUGAGUUGUAUUAUUGCCAUUUACAAUAUCAACCCACAUAAGAGUGAGGAAUAGAGGACAGAAAGGAAAAUGCUCCAUCUCACUGCAUUUGACAAAUUGAAGGGGAAAAUGAAAGUCACUUUUUUAACUGGAAUCUGCAGUCACAAGCACGAUGAAAGUAAAACACAUAUUGCCUUCAUUUCUUUUUAAGAAUGGAUGAAUAUCAGCAGGCAAAAAUAUAAUCACUAACUGGAAGACUGACCUAGCAGAAGUAAGCUGUGCCUGGGAGAACCCUGGCCAUCUCUCCCUUCAUGGGAGGAGCCAGAGAGCAUGAUGGCAUUCCCAAUGGAUUGUGCCUUCCUCAGAAGCCUCAGCAAGAGAUCCAGGGAAUUCAUUAGAUGUACUUCUGACUUACAGCAGCAUCCAGGUACCUUCUGACAGAGAAUACUAGAGAAGAGACCACAGGAAUUAAACCAAUCCAAAUCUGACAACUAGGAAGAUUGGACAGGUCUGGAAUGUAUUAACAAACUAAGUACUAAUAUACUCUAGUAAAAUUCAAAAAUAAAAAAAAAUCUAUAGUUAAAUUUUUAACUUAAUUGGCUUAUAAAAAUUUAACCUUUCAUAAAUGCUGCUUCUGAACAGUAUUAUUUCAUGGAAAAUAGUAGCUAAAAAGCAUAUUAGCACCACAGUUCUGACCUAAGCUCCUCCAAAUCAGAUUUCAGUCUUAAACAAGUGAGGAAUUUGUUGCACCGAGGCUUGGAUACAUCCUAUUUCACUUGUGUUGCAAUUAUAUUGCUAUGAAAUGUAAAAUGUGAGAAUUCUAUAGAAAAAUCUUGAUAAUUCAUCUUGAUAUUCAUUUGCAUAAAUGUACAGAUCCUGCAUCUAGUCAUGAUAAAUCACAUGCCAACAACUUUGCUUUAACAGUGUGUCAGUCUCAUUUCAGCUGAAUUUCUAGGCCUUUUUGAAAUACUCAAAUUGAUUCAGUCUGUGUAGGUCAACACUUAAAAUUAACUGGACUGUAAUGACAAUGUGACCACAUUGUGAAUGUCUGGAUGUUUAUGUGUAGCUUACACAGGUGAUUAGCUGGCAUUAAAUGUCAAAACUAUGACAGACACAUUUACACCAAAUGAGAGGAUGCUCCUGCAUAUAUGUUGUGUGAAUAUGCUGUAUAUGUGAAACAUUGUAUAAAUUACAUUGUGUAUCAUGUGUUCAUCAGUGUUAAAUAUCUAUGCAGUAUAUCUGGAACCACGAGAAAGUUCAGUGCUUCUACCAGCAUUUUCAAAAAUUUCAAGAAUCCCAUGAGGAAAGUACAGAUGUGUAACUUUUAAGUAAAUAUAAUACUUAAAUUAUUUAUUAUAUUGAUACCAAAAUGUAAAUAAUAACGUGAACUUAAACAGCUCUACCAAGCUUAGGUUUACACUGCCUUACUCACAAUAAUAUAUUCCACAACUUUUACCAGUUCAAAAAUUAGCAGUCUUUAAAUUGAAUCAUAGAUACAGACUGUACACAGGUAGACACACACAGACACACAUGAAGUAGCAGCUUGUUCAAGAGACACAUUAUAACUGAAUACAUCCUGAGCAAAAAAAAAAAUGAGGCAGGGAUCGACAAUACAAAUGCCACCAGCGUUUAAAAGAUUUUUUUAAGGUUUAGAAAGCCUCUCUUUUCUUGGGAUCAUCUUUUCUCCCAAUUCACCAAUAUUUCAGUACCACACUUUGAAAGGUGACUUUUUCUUCAGCUUUUGCUGGCUUUUUAAGAGAAGAACACCACCAACAGUUAGAAAACUUUUAUGUUUAACUUUCAAAAUUAUUGUAUUUUCUAUCCACAUUUUAUUGCUUAAGACAACAUUAAAGUUAGAACAUGAUUAUUUAUUUAAAGUGUAUAAUAGCCUGCAGCAGUAGUUUACUACUAAGUUUACUGUCCAACGUAAGAGCCAUAAUGUGCUGUUUUCUUUUGCAGAACAAAGUGACCACCAAAAGCGGGACUUUGUGGGCCAGUUGGAUAAAACAUAAGCUCAUCUCGCCCCCAAAACCCCGACUCUGGAACCACAGCCUUCCAAGAUUCAAUUUGUAAGUAAAGUAUCUUUGUAAGAUAUGCCAAAUCAACUGAGACAUUGCUUCUAGAGUGGGUAGUUUUCAGAUUAAUCAAAAGAGAACAUUAUAGCCCAAUUGCAAUACACCCUCCACUUUCUGGACAGCAGGAAUUGCUAACAGAUAUUAACUUUUUUAAUGAAUAUUUUAGCUAUAAUGUUAAUAUUAUAGAUCUAUUUAUCAAGCAGGUAAGGAGUACUUUUUCUAAGUGUCUAUGAAAUGACACAGAGUAACAGUUAUUAGACCCAGCACUCAAAAUACCUAUUAAGAUUUCUUCUCAAAGUAUGUAACAAGUUAUUAAUUAUGUUUCACUGUAUUUCAGACUAAAGUGGACACAUUAUAGAGAAAUGUCUGUCAUUAUUCUAAAUUUGCUAUUUGUACAAAAAACUAGAAAUUAUUUUCACUUUACUUGAAAAUAGGUCUCUUCUUACUAGCAAUGAUAGUAUCAAGUAUUCAGCUCUACGUCAUCUUACUACCCUCAAUAUUAUGUUUUGUAAGAUCCUCUUUCAAAGAUAAGAGGAAAAGUAGAAAUUCACGGACAAAAUCAACAUAUAUUCUAAAUCUUCACUUUACAAUUUAAACAGAGCUUCUAAAUAAAAUCCACGUUUAAAAGCAUUAUAGUUUACACUUGGGUGGCUGAAGUAGGUUAAUGCUGUCAGUUACGUUAAAAUAAUUAUUGUCCUUGAAAAGCCACUCUUACAUUCAUUCUGCUGUUGAUAAUCAAAAUGCAGAGCCGAAGAAUGCUGUCCUAGCUGAAAUGCUUUAUAAUCACUAAAUACAUCCUGAAAGGAAAACGCAGAGAAGUUGAUGGAAAUUCUGGCUAAGUAGAAAUGUUUAAAUAAUUCCUCUUUCUACAGACCAUACAUUUUAACUGACUUAUUUAUGGCUGUGAUGAUUUAGGAGAUUUUUCGGGCUAUGCUUUCACACGAGCUGAUCAGACGGUGCGUAUCGGCACCCCUCCGCACGGGCAUUUGUAGUUAUUUGUGCCUGGCCAAAGUCGCCGCAGAAGCCACGCGGAGGCGGCGGGACGGGACCGGCGGUCGGAGCCCGUGGGGAGCGGAUCCCGCGGGGAGCGGACCCCGCGG